UUGAGUUGUGCAAACAUGUAUCGACUGUUGUGCUAUUGUUUGUUUUAAGUAAGAAUAUGUUUUUCAAUAACAUCAUUGUGCAUCAAGGAAACUCUUUUUCACGUUUGCCAUUUUAAAUUGAUACCGGUGAGACACGUGAUCGAAAGAAGAUGUUAAAGACUUUUUGAAGUAAAGAGGAGCAUCUCAUCUGGACCUGAUGUCUAUCAUGGAUAUUUAACUGCAGUUCUGUGAGUAUCCCAACUUCACCAUGAAGAUGAACUGCGAACUGUAAGUCAAUAGUUUCUCAUUACUCUUGGGCACAUUGCUGUAUUUUGGCUUCCUGGUGAGUUAACCCGUUAGCUGAAGGUUGAUCCGAGUAGUAAGGAUGUUUUAUUGGUUCAUGGGCUACUUAGGCGUUUGGUUUUUGUUGGUUUUAAUGGUUUGUUAAAACGGUUAAAGGUUCUAAGUUAUUGUUGUAAGCUGGAGUAAUGGGUUGGGUUCUGAUGU